UGCAUUGUUUUCAAUUAGGGC
rnacentral:piRNA from 1 species